AGAGUUUGAUCCUGGCUCAGAUUGAACGCUGGCGGCAUGCCUUACACAUGCAAGUCGAACGGUAACAGGUCUUCGGAUGCUGACGAGUGGCGAACGGGUGAGUAAUACAUCGGAACGUGCCCAGUAAUGGGGGAUAGCUCGGCGAAAGCCGGAUUAAUACCGCAUACGCCCUGAGGGGGAAAGUGGGGGACCGCAAGGCCUCACGUUAUUGGAGCGGCCGAUGGCUGAUUAGCUAGUUGGUAGGGUAAAGGCCUACCAAGGCGACGAUCAGUAGCUGGUCUGAGAGGACGAUCAGCCACACUGGGACUGAGACACGGCCCAGACUCCUACGGGAGGCAGCAGUGGGGAAUUUUGGACAAUGGGGGAAACCCUGAUCCAGCAAUGCCGCGUGUGCGAAGAAGGCCUUCGGGUUGUAAAGCACUUUUGUCAGGGAAGAAAUCCUUUGGGCUAAUACCCUAGGGGGAUGACGGUACCUGAAGAAUAAGCACCGGCUAACUACGUGCCAGCAGCCGCGGUAAUACGUAGGGUGCAAGCGUUAAUCGGAAUUACUGGGCGUAAAGCGUGCGCAGGCGGUUGUGUAAGACAGGUGUGAAAUCCCCGGGCUUAACCUGGGAAUUGCAUUUGUGACUGCACGACUAGAGUGUGUCAGAGGGGGGUGGAAUUCCACGUGUAGCAGUGAAAUGCGUAGAUAUGUGGAGGAACACCAAUGGCGAAAGCAGCCCCCUGGGAUAACACUGACGCUCAUGCACGAAAGCGUGGGGAGCAAACAGGAUUAGAUACCCUGGUAGCCCACGCCCUAA
rnacentral:rRNA from 1 species